GGUAGGCAUCACAAUCACAAUGGCAGAUCAAUAUGAAGAUGCCCCUGCAUCUGAGACCCAAGCGCUCAUCUCAACCAAAGAGGCCAAAACUGGAGAUGAAGAUGCCCCCGCAUCUGAGACCCAAGCGCCCCCCCUCAACCAAAGAGGCUAAAAUUAUUGAAAGCAUCGGAC